AAAGAAACUAACAAGGAUUCCCCUAGUAACGGCGAGUGAAGCGGGAAGAGCUCAAAUUUAAAAUCUGGCUUGCUUGCAAGUCCGAGUUGUAGUCUGAAGAAACGUUUUCCAUGAAAGCUGAGGCACAAGUCCUUUGGAACAGGGCAUCAUAGAGGGUGAGAAUCCCGUCCAUGGUCUCAUGCAUUUUAUUUUGUGAUACGUUUUCUAAGAGUCAGGUUGUUUGGGAAUGCAGCCUAAAAUGGGUGGUAAAUUUCAUCUAAAGCUAAAUAUUGGCGAGAGACCGAUAGCGAACAAGUACCGUGAGGGAAAGAUGAAAAGAACUUUGAAAAGAGAGUUAAAAAGUACGUGAAAUUGUUGAAAGGGAACCGUUUGAAGCCAGUCUUGCUUACUUGUGAUCAAUCUUAACUUCGGUUUGGAUGCACUCUCGAGUUAUGCAGGUCAACGUCAGUUUGAGAGGUGGGAAAAAAGUUUGAGGAAUGUGGCCUUCGGGUGUUAUAGCCUCUUACUAAAUACCAUCUCCUGGACUGAGGCUCGCAGCAAAAAUGUGGGUUGGUUUGCUCCUGAGGUGAAUCAUUAUUAAGACAGCUUGCUGACUUAGUUUUGUGGAUCUUCACGGUAGACCAGCUUCUAAUUUGCUUAGGUCGUUGACAAAGUAAUGGCUCUUAAAUGAC
rnacentral:rRNA from 1 species